UGCCGCGUGAGUGAUGACGGCCUUAGGGUUGUAAAGCUCUUUCGACGGGGACGAUAAUGACGGUACCCGUAGAAGAAGCCCCGGCUAACUUCGUGACCAGCAGCCGCGGUAAUACGAAGGGGGGCAAGCGUUGUUCGGAAUCACUGGGCGUAAAGGGCGCGUAGGCGGACAUUUAAGUCAGGGGUGAAAUCCCGGGGCUCAACCCCGGAACUGCCCUUGAUACUGGGUGUCUUGAGGACCGGAAGAGGUAAGUGGAACUGCGAGUGUAGAGGUGAAAUUCGUAGAUAUUCGCAAGAACACCAGUGGCGAAGGCGGCUUACUGGUCCGGAUCUGACGCUGAGGCGCGAAAGCGUGGGGAGCAAACAGGAUUAGAUACCCCUGGUAGUCCACGCCGUAAACGAUGAAUGCCAGCCGUUGGGCAGCUUGCUGCUCAGUGGCGCAGCUAACGCUUUAAGCAUUCCGCCUGGGGAGUACGGUCGCAAGAUUAAAACUCAAAGGAAUUGACGGGG
rnacentral:rRNA from 1 species